AUUUAAGUAAACAACCCUACAAAUUUCUGUCAGAGUUCUGCCUUAAACAUCAAAUAACAAAAUCAAGUUUGAUAUAAAUUGUAAAAGAGUCAUUCAUUUAUCGCGAAAUAGCAAUGACCAUAGCAGUUUUAAAAUUUAAAUGUAAAAUGGUAGAACAAACUCUUAAUCACGAUUUUAAUGUGAGUACCAAAGAACACAAGUAAACUACGAGCAGGAUAAAUAAAAUAUGUGCCAGAUUUUUUGGAAUUUAAAACACAGAAACAAGCGGCCUAUAUUUAAUGAAUAAGUGUGAACUGACCUACAAGAAGUAUUUAUUCUUUUAUUUGGAAUUUUAUUUUGUGGCUUACUUUUGAAGAUGUGCUGUACAUGUACAUUGUGCAAGUACCCAAUUUUAUACAUACACAAUUGCACUACAAAAGAUGUAAAAACACAUAAAUACCUACUUUUGCAAAUGGACUUUCUUUCAAGUUGAUGAAAUAAUGGGGUAACCUCAAUUUAUUAUGGCAUAUUUAUCUUUCAGUAAAAUUGUGUAAAUAUUUUAGUGAGUUAAAUUGUUUUUUUUUUUUAUGUUAAAGGUGAAGGAAGAGAAUGCCAAUGCAGUAUAAUUUUCUUAAAUUUUAAUAAUUUUUUUGGGGAUACAAUUUUGGUUUGGUUCCAAUUUGAAUUGGAACUAGAUAAUUAUAAUAAUACGCAUGUAAAUAUUCAUGUAUUAAUAUCACACUCUUGAAGGAAAUUCUUGAAAAUAAUUCUAGGACCUACCUAUUUAAGUACAUGGUUUAACCUUUUGACAAAAGUAUCUUCUUAGAAUUAACACUAAUUAGGUAUAUCAAAUAUACUCAUUGUAACAAUAAGGUAGG